rnacentral:tRNA from 1 species
GGCUCUGUGGUGAAGUUCAUGUUGAGUUGCAAGCUCAUCGAUGUGUAUUGGUCAUACACCGGAGUCU